UGGUAUAUAGGAUUUAUAUUAAGAAAUCAUAAUCUCUUCUUAAGAUUCUUAUAUUUAUUCAUUUGAAGUAAAAAUAAUGGCUAACACUAGUAGAGAAAACCAUAGAUUUGUGCUCUGUAUGAUCCAUGUAGCGGAAGAAAAGAUGCAUGAAAGAUGUCUUAUGCCAAAAAAUUUUGGAGUUAUGAUAGAAUAUACCCAAUACCCAAAAGGACUCAAAGCUGAACACUAUAACAAGGCAAAACUUCAAAUUUCUUAUUUUAAAAAUCAUUUUAUAGAAUUGCUAAAGUGGCCUGAUGUUAAAGU